rnacentral:lncRNA from 1 species
AUGCGGGUCGAGAUUGUUUUGAGCGGGACAGGUGCGGGUCAGUCGAAUUUAAGUCGCGGAUAUCCGCCAACCCAUAAAUUAAAAAAAAACAUUUGAAAAAAAACAUUUUUCGUAAAAUAUAUAAAAAACAAUAAAUAUUUAUAUAAUUUUAAUUAAAAAUAUAUUAUUUUAAUAGUAUUUUUUAAAAAUAACUAUUAUAUAAAUUUAAAAUAAUUAUUUAUAAUUAAAAUAAUUAUUAUUCUAUAAUUAAAAAAUAAUCAUUUUUAAUUAAAAUAACUAAUUUUAGUAUAAUU